rnacentral:rRNA from 1 species
CGAGCGCAGGUGGUUUAUUAAGUCUGGUGUAAAAGGCAGUGGCUCAACCAUUGUAUGCAUUGGAAACUGGUAGACUUGAGUGCAGGAGAGGAGAGUGGAAUUCCAUGUGUAGCGGUGAAAUGCGUAGAUAUAUGGAGGAACACCGGUGGCGAAAGCGGCUCUCUGGCCUGUAACUGACACUGAGGCUCGAAAGCGUGGGGAGCAAACAGGAUUAGAUACCCUGGUAGUCCACGCCGUAAACGAUGAGUGCUAGAUGUAGGGAGCUAUAAGUUCUCUGUAUCGCAGCUAACGCAAUAAGCACUCCGCCUGGGGAGUACGACCGCAAGGUUG